rnacentral:misc_RNA from 1 species
CGUGCGCUUUCAGUCGCGAUGAUCCGCUGACCGUCGCGGUUAUGGUGUUCAACGUGUUAUAUUUCAUCGCUGCGUUCGAGUUGGUGUUGUAUAGUUGUAUGGUGGCCAACAGGGACUGGCUCUUCUCUUCGUAUACGCGCACUUUAUCGGACGAAGCAUAUUCCGCUGUCGGCGGCAGCGGUGACGGCGAUUCGGACUUAGAGUAUGACUACGGGUCGUUUAUCGUUGACUAUUGACAUUUUAAUGAGGUCAACAACCCCAAGCCGAAGACGAAAAUACCCCACAGAAACGAGUA